UUUAGGAGGGUGGACCACAUCCAGCACUGACAUUUAAGGGCAAUUUACGAGAAUUACUGUUAAAUUACAAGAAUGAUAUGUUUACUUCAUUGUGUCCAUCAGUAGGAAGAAUAAUUAUGCCUGACUUGAUUAACGGAAGUCCUUAUGAUUUUGGAAAUUUGCCUUUUAAUUACUCAGACAUGGACCAUUUUGAAGAAUGUGUGUUUGAUAACAUUUAUUCCAGACUGUGGUUGGCUGUUGAUCAGAAGAGGGCGCCUUAUAACCAUCAUCAUAUCAGCAUCGUCAUCCUCCUCCUCCGGACAAGCCUUACAAUGCCCAGAAGAUAAAAGCUCUUAGGAGUUUCUGUGUCACGUUUUGAUACUUGAAUAAAAAUGACACUUUGGAGCCUUGAAAAAUGGACUUUCCUUCUGAAGUACCCAGGAGAGUAGGAAGUUAUCGAUAGUGAGAAAGAAGAUCACUAACAUAUCAAGAGAAGUACAGGUGAAAGUUGGUGAGCUAGAGAUGAAGAGAAGAUAGAGAUAUAGAGACCAUGGAUGAUGAAGGGAGCUAGAAAUAGAAGAAAAGGAGCAUAGAGAGAGAA